GAAAUAUGUAAUUCAAAAUGAAACUUCUAAUUUCAAUUUUAAGCAGUAAAAUCUGU
rnacentral:tRNA from 1 species